UCUGGGCGUAGUACGACGAUAGAUCCGGUUGUGAUCGCGAGUGUGUAGUAGAACGCGGAAAGGGCCUGUGUCUCUGUGUAUCCGAGCGUGGCGGCUGUUGAGUAGUAGUGAGUUCAAUGUUUGCGUGCGUAGCCGACGGUCGGUUCGUCUACCGUAGAGUACGUCGUGUGCAAUAGAACGGAACUAAGCUUCGAUCGAAUACGGUUAGUCGCGCUGGCGCUUGCAAAGCGAGCGGACGUGCGUAUUGAUUGCCCAGUGGCAAGUCGGUGAUUCUGAAGGUCAGCAUUAAAUGCAGCUGCAAUGCCGCACCGGACGGACUGUUGGAUAAUGCAGUGGAGGAAAUGUGCACCACUCAGGUGGACUUGGAAAGCCUUCUCCACCAAUCUUUGAUACAUUUCUAUUCAGAUGAGGCGAUGACACGAGCGGCUAGACGACGUAAACGGCUUCUACCGAAGGACGAUGGAUGACCCAAUGGAACGGAAGGGAGUGAUCUAAUGGAGAGGUAGCAUUUCCAGAUAAUCUGUACCGUUUUGUUAAAGAGCAAGAGCUUCCUGGAGGAAUGAAUAAGGCGUAUUAAACCUCCUAAAACGAGUACCUUAUAAGACGAGUUCUUUCCACGGUAAAAACGAUUGAAUGUGUUUCGAUUCCUAUCUGACACCUUCUACUCGUAUGUGGUCAAAGGUUGAAAAAUUUGGUAUUACACUAUCAUACACAAAUGUUCAAAAGUUUGCAUAACGUUCAUAUUAAAAAAAGUAGCUCCUGAGUCAGCAGCCAAAAAAUAGACACCUUUAUCAGUCGAACUCUAACCGUGAAGGCCAAAAGAGUGAAGCAACUUCGUUCAGAAGCGUGCGCGAUGAAAGAACUGCACCCCUUAGCAUCUAAAACGAACUCCGUGUGGCAGUUUGUGAACGUCGUAUAAGCCUAUUCCGGUAUCUUCUGCAACAUCUUGUCAAUAUCAAAUAACAAUCAGAGUAUCGAAAGAUUGCCCAGUUCCCGAUGGCCGACGAUCCUGAGCGACAAUCAGCUCCAAAGGAAGCUAAAGAGGAAGAGCGAGGGAAAUGUGUCUAUAUUGCUCCGUUUGCUUUGCCAGGUGGUCGACGUAACAGGAAAAAAACAGUGAAAUAGUGCCUGAGGAACAUGAACACACAUGUCAGGAAGCGGAAAUCGCGUCCACUGGUUUCGGAAUGGUGUCAGUCGGUCGAACAUCCCCCAGCUGCGUCCCAUCGAAAGUUUCUACGUCAUCAGAAAAAAAUCAUCGAAAAAAUUAAAUAAAAACUAUUUAAAAAAUUCUUCUAUAUUUCGGACCGCAAUCAAACUUUAAAAUUUGCGAACUUUUUCUGUAAAUUUGCAAUCUGUAUUUUCAUGUUUUAUUGUAUCACCUUAAAAAAGAAACGAAAAGAAUAACACGUUCCCACAGCUUCCGUUGCCGUUUCUACGGCCUACUUCCUGCAUCCAAAUGCCACCGAAAACGUUCUGUCUGUCUAUUGCAAGGAACGGUGC